rfam:Fonticula alba strain ATCC 38817 mitochondrial scaffold supercont2.214, whole genome shotgun sequence.
GCCGGUUUAGCUUAGUUGGUAGAGCAAUUGAUUUGUAAUCAAUAGGUCGCAGGUUCGAGUCCUGUUAUCGGCU